rnacentral:lncRNA from 1 species
CCGGGUCUUCGCGGCAGCGCGGCGGGGCGGGGCGGGGCGGGGCAGCGGGCCGGCCCGCGGGGGAGGGGCCAGGGCCGGGGGGCGGCCCCUCGGUCCCCGAGGCCCCGCGACGAGACCCCGCGCCCAGCUGUCUCCGGCCGGCGCCCGCCCCGCGCGGCUGUGCUGCAGCCUCGACUGUCUCGGCGUGGGUCCCGGGUUCCCGCACGCGGGGCUCGGGACCCGCCCUGGGCCCGUGACCCCGGACCUACCCCGAGCAGGGUCCCCGUGCGGCCGCGGUGCCCGCCCCGGCAGCGCCCCCGCCGCGCGCGGAGCUGCAGGAGCGGGACGUCCACCGGCGGCUUCUGAGCGGCGGGCUUGGGAUUCUAGUCUCCUCCUUUGUGACUAUCUGGAGUUUCUAAGUUUUCUCUAGUGACCACUGUGGUGUUUUGUCAGUGAGGAAAGACGGGUUUUCUAAGGCGCCUGCAGAAGUUGAGCGGCCCGUCUCCGCAGUGCAAGCUGUCCUUUUCCACGCGGCGGGACUACUUGGUGCCAGGCCGGCCCCCGGCUCCUCCUCGGGCUGCCCCCGCCCCUGUCGGCCCCGCCCCUCCCCGCCCCGAGCCCCGCCCCCUCGGCUGCGGCGUAAACCCGGAGCGGCAGAUUUCCCACGGCGCCCGGGAGCCGGUAGUCGCCGGGCGGGAGCGCUGCCGGGGGCGGGGUGACGCAGCUCCGCUCUCCCCAUCUCUCCCCGUCCCCGGCGAGCCUCGCGGGGGAGCGCUGCGACCCCCGCCGCGGGCCCGGCCGCAAAAAUGGGUCAGGAUCCGACUGAGCAUGCUCGCCGGCUCGCGGCCGCGUCGGGCGCCCAGGUGGACCCAGCCGGGCCUCCGGUCGGGCCGCGCGGGGGUGGCGCAGGUGCGCGGUCCGGGAGCAGGCAUCCUUGACAAUUGCAUGAGGACACGAAGUUUUCACCUGCUUUUUCGAAGAUGAAGGCCUUGUCCUCACUCUCAGAUCAUUGCGCGGUGUCAGAGUCCAUUUUUUCUUCAGUUCUUCCUUCCUCUGAGACUCCACGUUCUCCAGGACCCUGCAGA